GUUGAGGAGGCGGUGACCGUGGCAGUGUAGGUGGAAGCAGCGGUGGAGGAGGAGGAUGAGGUAGCCAUCACUGUUUUUUAUAUAUAUAUAUAUAUAUAUUUAAAAAAAAAAAAAAUUUUGAUGGCGACUUUGCAUUCGGAUGUCAUCCAUAUCAACUUUCGAUGCCAGUUUCUACGCCUACCAUGGUGACCACAGGAAACGGGGAAUUAGGGUUCCAUUCUGUACAGGGCCCCUGAGAAAUGGUUACCACAUGCAAGGAAGGCAGCAGGCGCGCAAAUUACCCACUCCCGGCGCGGGAAGAUAGUGACGAC